rnacentral:misc_RNA from 1 species
UGUCGUUCAAGAACACUGUGUAGAUAUCAAAAUCUUGGGUUUGGAAUUUAGAGAGAUUGGAGCUUGUUUUGGAGUGAAAUUGAGGCAUUAAUGGGGAGGCAUCGUAGUAGAAAUACUUACAUAAUCUGUUUUAGUGUUAGCUUGACAAAUCUUUAGCAGAGGAAAUGAUUGGUGGUGUAAGGAUAGCGUCAAUUCAAUAUCGUUUGAUUCUUUAUUAGAAUUCUUG